CUUCUGUAAGGGCUUGCCUGGACUUGCUAGGCUCCGAUCUCACCUGGGUUUCAUUGUUCUUUUUGACUCAAAGGAAUGUAAAUAUUCUCUAACCUUCUAGUCCUUACCUUGAAAAAUAACACAGCAUUUACAUAUUCCCAAGUACUUCUGUAACCAAAUCCACUCUCUCCUCUUUGUAUAAGGCUUCUUGUCACUAAAUUAUGACUUAUAGCCAAGGCAUCAAAGUUUAAAGUCUAUAUUUUGUCAUUGAUUUGUACAAAGUGGUUAAUACCAG
rnacentral:lncRNA from 1 species